UACGUAGGGGGCCAGCGUUGUCCGAAGUUAUUGGGCGUAAAGAGCUCGUAGGCGGUUUGUCGCGUCUGCUGUGAAAACUGGAGGCUCAACCUCCAGCCUGCAGUGGGUACGGGCAGACUAGAGUGCGGUAGGGGAGAUUGGAAUUCCUGGUGUAGCGGUGGAAUGCGCAGAUAUCAGGAGGAACACCGAUGGCGAAGGCAGAUCUCUGGGCCGUAACUGACGCUGAGGAGCGAAAGCAUGGGGAGCGAACAGG
rnacentral:rRNA from 1 species